rnacentral:rRNA from 1 species
GUCCCACGCCGUAAACGGUGGAUGCUGGAUGUGGGGCCCUUUUUCCGGGUCCUGUGUCGGAGCUAACGCGUUAAGCAUCCCGCCUGGGGAGUACGGCCGCAAGGCUAAAACUCAAAGAAAUUGACGGGGGCCCGCACAAGCGGCGGAGCAUGCGGAUUAAUUCGAUGCAACGCGAAGAACCUUACCUGGGCUUGACAUGUGCCUGACGAUCCCGGAGACGGGGUUUCCCUUCGGGGCGGGUUCACAGGUGGUGCAUGGUCGUCGUCAGCUCGUGUCGUGAGAUGUUGGGUUAAGUCCCGCAACGAGCGCAACCCUCGCCGCGUGUUGCCAGCGGGUCAUGCCGGGAACUCACGUGGGACCGCCGGGGUUAACUCGGAGGAAGGUGGGGAUGACGUCAGAUCAUCAUGCCCCUUACGUCCAGGGCUUCACGCAUGCUACAAUGGCCGGUACAACGGGGUGCGACACGGUGACGUGGGGCGGAUCCCUGAAAACCGGUCUCAGUUCGGAUCGCAGUCUGCAACUCGACUGCGUGAAGGUGGAGUCGCUAGUAAUCGCGGAUCAGCAACGCCGCGGUGAAUGCGUUCCCGGGCCUUGUACACACCGCCCGUCAAGUCAUGAAAGUGGGCAGCACCCGAAGACGGUGGCCUAACCCUUGUGGGGGGAGCCGUCUAAGGUGAGGCUCGUGAUUGGGACUAAGUCGUAACAAGGUAGCC